UCGAAGAGCAUUCAUAUGUCUCGCGCGACGCAGAUUCUCCCGGGAAGAUCUCGAUCAUUGGAAUUGCGGACAACGAGGGCAAUGGAACUGGAUCGGCGCUCAUCUUCUUGGGCCCAGGGUUUUCGAGUUCGGUCUCUCAUUUGAUGUGCCUCGCCAGCCUCAUGAUCCCCCCUCCUUUGCUUCUCUCAGGCACUGACGGUUCUCCGCAAGCUCAACCUGAACUACAGGUGAUUUCGUCAGAUUUCUCGAUCAUGCAAUGCAUCGUUGCUCAUUGAUAUUGCCGAAGCAAUGGCGAGAACAAUUACAUAUUGAUCGAUGUAGGGAAGACGUUUAGGGAGCAAGCACUAAGAUAGUUUACACGCCGUAAGGUUACUCAAAUGGAUUCUGUGUUGUGUGUCACAAUUGCACUUUGAUGGCAGCAGACUUGCGAUUGUGCGGCACUCACUUCUCAGCAACAAGUGAGUUAAGC